AAAUUAAAAUUUAUUUUUAGUUAGUAAAAAAAAUAUUUUUUUAAUUAGUAUAUUUUAGAAUAUGAAGUUGAAUAUUAUAGUAAAUUGUAUAGUGAUAGAAUAUUGAAAUAUAAGAAUAUUAGUUUGUGGAUAAGAAAAAUUAAUUUUUUGUACCUUGUGUAUCAGGGUUUAUUAAAAAUAUUUAAUUAGUUAAGGUUCUCGAAUUAGGAAGAGCUAAUAUUAUAUAUAUUUAAUUGUAAAAUAAAUUUUUAAAAUAUAAUAUUAGAAAUGAAACGUUAUUCGUUUCUUAAUAUAUCUAGUUUUUUAAGAAAUAAAUUUAAUUUAGUUUAUAGGUUAAAUUAGGUUAAUUUUUUAAUUUAGUUUAUUUAUAAGGUAAUACUUUAAGGGAUAAGCUUUAAAGUAAAUUAUUAAAAUUAUGUUUUAUUAAUUGAAUAAUUGUAGGAUUGGAAGUUUUUAUCUAUAAUAUGUUAUAAUUAAUUUUCAUGAUAAUAAGAUUUAUAUAAUAGUUUAAGUUAUUUAUUAAAAUAAAAUAUUUAAUAUUAUAAUAUUUGUAAUAAUGAUAAAAUUAGUAUAAGUUAAUGUAUAUGUUUAUAAUUUAAAUAGUAAAGGUUAAGUUAAGGAACUCGGCAAAUACAUUUUUCGCCUGUUUAUUAAAAACAUGUCUUUUUGAGUAUAAUUUAAAGUCUGACCUGCCCAAUGAGGAGUUGAAUGGCCGCGGUAUUUUGACCGUGCAAAGGUAGCAUAAUCAUUAGUUUUUUAAUUGAAAGCUGGAAUGAAUGGUUGGACGAGAAAAUGACUGUCUCAAUUUAAUUUUAAUUAGAACUUUAUUUUUAAGUAAGAAAGCUUAAAUUAGUUUAAAAGACGAGAAGACCCUAUAGAGUUUUAUAUUUUUUUUAUCAUAAAAAGUUUAGAAUUUCUGAAAUUUAUGUUAUAUAAAGUAUUUUGUUGGGGCGACAGAAAAAUUGGUUUAACUUUUUUUAUAAUAUAAUCAUUAAUUUAUGUAUGUAUGAUCCGUUAUUGACGAUUAGAAGAUUAAAUUACCUUAGGGAUAACAGCGUAAUUUUUUUUAAGAGUUCAUAUCGAAAAAAGAGUUUGCGACCUCGAUGUUGGAUUAAAAUUAACUUUUGGUGUAGGGGCUAGAAGGUUAGGUCUGUUCGACCUUUAAAAUUUUACAUGAUCUGAGUUUAAACCGGCGUGAGCCAGGUUGGUUUCUAUCUUUAAAUAAAAGAAAUACUUUAGUACGAAAGGACCUAGUAUUUAUAAUAUUUAUUAAUAAAUUGAUUAUUAUU
rnacentral:rRNA from 1 species